AAGAAAUGAAAAAUGCUCACGUGUCAUAAUUUUAAAUAUAUAGUGUGUAUGUAUAUACAUAUAUGACAGUCCGAAUAUAAAUAUAAUACAAAAAAAAAAAAUGUACAUAAACAAAUAUAAAAAAAAAAAUAAAAUAAUAAAAUAAAUAACAGAAUAUACAGAACAAAAAAAUGGUAAACAUAUGUUUUUAUAAAAACUAAUACAUGACUUAAUGUUAUAAAACAAAAAAAUAAAACAAAAAAAAAUUAUCCUAAAUAUCCAAUUAAUUAUUAUUUUAGCUGUUCUUGAAAAAUAAGAUAUAAAAAUAAAAAUGCAUGCGUAAGUACACGCAUGUAUAUAUGUACAUAUACAUUAAAAAAAAUCCAAAUAAGACAUAAAACAAAAUUAAAAUAAAGAACAAAAAUAAACAAAAAAAAAAAGUAAAAUCCUUUUUAAUAUUUAAUGUUAAACAAUCAAAUACGUAACAUAAAAAAUAAAAUAAAAAAACAAAAAUUAACAUAAGAAUAUAUUUCUAAAAAUCAAAACACUUAUUAAAAGCGAGCGAGCUUAUUUUCCAAAAAAAUUAUAAAUUUUUUUUUAUAAAAAAAAUGGGAAAAACUGAAAAUAUAAAAUAUGAAAAAAAUGUAUGUUAUUACAAUAAUGAAAAUGAUACAAUCGAUAACCUAAAAGAAAAAAAUAAAAGUGAAACAAAUUUAGCAAUAACCAACACAACAGCUUUAAAUGACGAAAAUUGUUUCACAAAAAAUCAAGAAAUGUUUGGAAUAAAAUUAUAUGACAAUGAUAUUCAAUAUACUGAUAGUAUGGAACAAAUUGUGCAUAAAAUUAUAAAUAAAAAAAAUGUUGAGUUUUAUAAACGAUACUCUUCUUUCUUAGUAUACUUAGAUAAAGAAACGAUACAAAACGAUCCAGACGAAUAUUCUAAUGAAAAAAAUGACUCUACUAGAGAUAUGCAAACAUGUACUGACAGUAUGCAAACAUGUACUGACAGUAUACAAGUACGUACUGACAGUAUGCAAAUACGUACUGACACUAUAGAAAUACAUACAGGUGCAUCAAACAAUAGCAAUGAUGUGCACGCAAUAAAAGAACUUAACGAAUCUAGUAAUGAUAAUAAAAAAGUUUUUUUUAAAAUUCAAAUUGAUUAUUCACAUAUGAGUAUUUUUUAUAACGUAAUUAAUAAAGAAGUGAUAGAAAAACUUUUAUUACUUUGUGUUAAUAAAUAUAAACAAAGUAAAACCGCAAUUGGACGUACAUCUGAUAAACAAGAAAAUUAUAAAGUAAAAAAAUCAACAAAUAGAACUAGUUCAAGCGUUUUUGUAUAUACUAUUAGAGAAACAUCCAAAGUAGACUCAACUCAGUUAGAUGAUGAAAGUUCAAUUGUGUAUACAAAAGAUAAAAGUAUAAUUGAAUUCGAAAACACUAUAUGUAAUUUAGUAAAAAUACCAUUAUGUUAUUUAGAACCAUUAGCAAUAGUCAAAUAUGAAAAAAAUAAUUAUUUUAAUUUACAUCAUGAUGGUUCGUUCAGAAGAGCUACAUUUUUAAUUUAUUUGAAUGAUGUUGAUAAAGAUGGAGAAACUGAAUUUCCAUAUUAUAAUUUAUCCAUUAAACCUAUACAAGGGUCAGGGAUUUUCUGGUAUAACAUUAUACCUUUAGAAGAAAAAUAUGCCAUUACUUACUGUCAGAAUAGAGUCAAUGAAAUUGAUAAAGAUGAAGAAAAAAAUAAUAAUAAAAACGAACAUAAAGUGAGUGGUCAACUCUUAAAUAGUGAUAAUACCACUAGUAGUGAUACCAAUAGCGAUAGUAAUAACUAUUGUAAUCAAUCAAAUGGUAACACUGUUAACCUCACUACAAAUAAUACAAAUACAAUUAAUACUACUUCUGAUUUAUAUAAUUUUAUUAACAAUAAAUUAAAUUUGGAAAAAUAUUCGAUUAGUGUUGUAAAGGAUGAAUUUGAUAAUAUGUACAUUUCUGAUACAACUAUGGUACAUAAAGCGAAUAAAGUUACUGAUGAGUAUAAAUAUGUUAUUA
rnacentral:lncRNA from 1 species